rnacentral:tRNA from 1 species
UAGACCAACACCAAAGGCUGCUAACCUUUCAAUAAUGAAUUUCAUUUUGGUCUUU